UACGUAGGGUGCGAGCGUUGUCCGGAAUUACUGGGCGUAAAGAGCUCGUAGGUGGUUUGUCGCGUUGUUCGUGAAAACUCACGGCUUAACUGUGAGCGUGCGGGCGAUACGGGCAGACUGGAGUACUGCAGGGGAGACUGGAAUUCCUGGUGUAGCGGUGGAAUGCGCAGAUAUCAGGAGGAACACCGGUGGCGAAGGCGGGUCUCUGGGCAGUAACUGACGCUGAGGAGCGAAAGCGUGGGAGCGAACAGG
rnacentral:rRNA from 1 species